GAAAAACGUGUGGGAGACGUGACUCUGACGUCUGUUUAAACGCGAGAUGCUGGGUCCCCCAUGACAGAGCCGCUGCCAUGGGAUGAAACUACCAACCCCCAGCCUUUUUCUUUGGAGUGAAGGCAGAGCUACUGAUGAGCUGCUCGUCAUAC